rnacentral:misc_RNA from 1 species
AUUAAACCGUGAUAAAAACCAAAUUGAGAACCUGUGUCAUGGUGAUCGGUUAUUAGCUUUCGCAAGUAGUAAUAAGUCUCUGCGCUAAACCGCGAACGGACGGACAGACGGAAAUGACGAAAUUAUACCUACCCUUAUA